UUUGGUAGACUUCAAGGCAGUGUGAUCUCGCUUAAAAUUUUACCAACUGAUCACUGGCGUGUAAUAGAAGAUUUGCCCUGUGCGAGAGAAAUAUUGAAACUUCCAUUUUGUUGAUGUUCUUUGUAGAAUUUCUUUUUAGAGAAUGUUGCAAAUUGUGGAAGGCUUUUGCCUUUUUCUUCUUUUUGCUAAUGAUUCUGCCUUAGUAUUAGCCAGAUGAUAUUGCC
rnacentral:lncRNA from 1 species